UGCCGGAGUGCUUGCACUUUGGCAGACUGAGUGGCGGACGGGUGAGUAACGCGUGGGUAACCUGCCUUAUACAGGGGGAUAACAGUUGGAAACGACUGCUAAUACCGCAUAAGCGCACGGUAUCGCAUGAUACAGUGUGAAAAACUCCGGUGGUAUAAGAUGGACCCGCGUCUGAUUAGCUUGUUGGUGAGGUAACGGCCCACCAAGGCGACGAUCAGUAGCCGGCCUGAGAGGGUGAACGGCCACAUUGGGACUGAGACACGGCCCAAACUCC
rnacentral:rRNA from 1 species